CUCUGGUGUGGUCGUCGGCCAGACGACGUCAAGCUGGAUUAAAAAUACAGUGAAAUUUGUUAGGCUUGUGGAGAACAGCUUUUUUUUUAUCUACUCUUUGGCUGGCCAAUGUAAAUAAGCAAUGAUUUCGUGAAUGCAGCGAGAGAGUUUAUUUGAUGUAUUUUUAAAUCACUGAUAAUAUUUAUUGAUGUAUUUUAAAAUCACUGAUAAUAUUUAUUGAUGUAUUUUAAAAUCACUGAUAAUAUUUGUUUUGUGGCUGGAAGAUGGUAACCAUGGUGACUUGUGAAUUUUUAUGAAGAUUAAUAAAAAGCAGUAAAAAUUA